ACUCCUACGGGAGGCAGCAGUGGGGAAUAUUGCACAAUGGAGGAAACUCUGAUGCAGCCAUGCCGCGUGUGUGAAGAAGGCUCUAGGGUUGUAAAGCACUUUAAGUUGUGAGGAAAGGUUAGUAGUUAAUACCUGCUAGCUGUGACGUUAGCAACAGAAUAAGCACCGGCUAAUUUAGUGCCAGCAGCCGCGGUAAUACUAAAGGUGCGAGCGUUAAUCGGAAUUACUGGGCGUAAAGCGCGCGUAGGUGGUUUGUUAAGUUAGAUGUGAAAGCCCAGGGCUUAACCUUGGAACUGCAUCUGAUACUGGCAGGCUAGAGUGUAGUAGAGGGAGGUAGAAUUUCAGGUGUAGCGGUGAAAUGCGUAGAGAUCUGAAGGAAUACCGGUGGCGAAGGCGGCCUCCUGGACUAACACUGACACUGAAGUGCGAAAGCGUGGGUAGCGAACGGGAUUAGAUACCCCGGUAGUCCACGCCGUAAACGAUGUCUACUAGCCGUUGGGGGGUUUAACCCUUUAGUGGCGCAGCUAACGCAUUAAGUAGACCGCCUGGGGAGUACGGCCGCAAGGCUAAAACUCAAAUGAAUUGACGGGGACCCGCACAAGCGGUGGAGCAUGUGGUUUAAUUCGAUGCAACGCGAAGAACCUUACCAGGACUUGACAUCCUCAGAACUUUCCAGAGAUGGAUUGGUGCCUUCGGGAACUGAGUGACAGGUGCUGCAUGGCUGUCGUCAGCUCGUGUCGUGAGAUGUUGGGUUAAGUCCCGUAACGAGCGCAACCCUUAUCCUUAGUUGCUAACAUUUAGUUGAGAACUCUAGGGAGACUGCCAGUGACAAACUGGAGGAAGGUGGGGACGACGUCAGUCAUCAUGGGCCUUACGUCCUGGCUACACACGUGCUACAAUGGUGCAUACAGAGGGUUGAC
rnacentral:rRNA from 1 species